rnacentral:lncRNA from 1 species
GGUAAUUCUACUACUUUACCAUUUGAUAUAAAAAAGUGAAGUUUAAAGAGGAUGAAUGAUCAGUCAGUAUAAGUCAUCUCAGUCAGCAAGUAGUAAAAAGAGCCAUCUAAUCCUUACACAUCUGACUCUAGAACUCUAGUCUUCCCUACUGUAUACAUACCUUUCAUGUGUGCUCAAAGGAAAGCAAGAGACUCAGGAUGGGCAACAGCUCAUCUCUGCUUGGUAAGGUCUACAGCUUCAACUGAGGACUUUAAUCCUGAGGGUAACUCAAGAGCAGGAGCAGGAAACAUCAGCGGCCAUCCUCACUCCUGCAUGUCUGGCCAUUGGUGCUGCCUGUCAGGUGGGACAGCAGUGGAGCUAUCAGCAAGAACACCCUCAGGGCCUUCUCAUGUGGCCACUGCAGCCUCAUCAUAGGAUGGAGCCUGUGCUCUAAGAGGGAGCACCCCAAGCUCUACCACCUUUUAUGACUCAUCUCAGAAGUCACAAAGGGUUCCUUUCCUAAAUUCCUAGCUCCUACAAAACUCAAGGGGAAGGAAUAGAGACCACUGGGUGUCUGCCAUGGUGGUCUCUAAAGGAGAAUAGAGGAAGUAGUUAAGUUGAAAUCCAGCAAACAUUCUACAUUAGGGGUGAACUGGGGCAAGGAACAAGGUGACCCCACAUUCCAAGCUAGUGGUUAAAUGGAGGUUAUAAUAAUUCAUCAAAGAGAGGUUAGCACAGAAAGAUCUAGAAUAACACCCAGUCAGCCAUGACAGACUGCAUUUUCCAAAUGUGUCCACAAUGAUAUCUGCCACAACACAUGUUCUUUGAGAACCCUGUUACUUUCUAACUCUUGAGUACAGGCAGGUUCGAGGUCAUUUUUAACCACAGGUUAUGCUGGAGUGGUGCAGUGUUACUCUUGAAACCUGGUGCUACAAGGCAACAUGUUUCUUCCUUGCUGGUGAGACAUUUGUUCUCUGACGUCUUAGGUGCUGUGCACGGAGCUCGACUAUCCUGAAUCCACCAUGAUUCGACCUCAUGUCAGUCCUUUGGCUGCCAGCCCAGUUCAACUCCAAGCUGAUGACCAGUGUCGACCGCCAGUCAUUCUGAACAUUUGACCAGUUGAGCUUUCAAAUGAUGGCAGUCCUGGCUGACAUUUUGGGUGAACAAUAUGAGAGACUGACUGGUUGAGCCCUUCCCAAAUUUCUGACCCACAACAUUGUGAGAAAAAUAAUCUUAAGCCUCUCAGUUUGGGGACAAUUUGUUACUCAGCAAUAGAAAUGAAAAUAUGAUCUCAGUAGGACCAUGUGACUUGCAGCAACCAGGGUGACAAUGAACGUCCCUGCAGAUACCCGAGGAGGGGACGCAUGAAGGUUCCCUAGGUGCCCUGUAAAUCUACAGCUUCCUGCUUUCCUCUGCCACAAACACAUGACACGCUGUACCUCUACACCUAAUCUUUUGGUUUGGAAAGGAACGGAAGGUGAUAGAAAUCUGAAAGUUGCGACUGAGGUUUACCAUCCUAAACACAUUAUUUCAGGAGACUAACUCCAAGAUGAUUGGCAUGAACUAGAAUUUUUCUCCCCUUUCUUAUAAAGCAAAUGGGACAGCUCAGGAGGAAGAUCGGAGCAGUUAUAUACAAAAAAUUAACACACAAAUGAAGCAACCACGUGGCCUCUGUGUAUAUGGAGAAAAGUGUGAGCAAAUGUGGGGCCCUAAUACAGAAUGUCAGCCAGGAAGACGAGGAAGGCAGACCUCCCUAGAACAGUGGUACAAGACAUUGGUGGUCAUCUUAACAGAUGUGCACUGACUGAUAUCCUUCAGAAUAGGAAGGAAAUGUGAGAUCUUAAGAAGGAAUUCUAGGGGAGGUCUCAGCUUUACCCCCUGUGACUUGCACUUGGUCAGUAUACAACUUAUUCUUCCCACCAGAGUGAUAGAAAGAAAAAAAGAAACUGAGUUCUGUAUGUUGAGAAAUAUCAUCUUGGCCUUUAAAUUAUUUUAAAAUUAUAGCAACAUGAGUCUUCCUGAA